rnacentral:lncRNA from 1 species
AGGGAGAGAGAGAGACCACUCCAGCAUUUGUUGCUUUUGUAAUGGUGUAGCUCAGUAAUGUUAUCAGGAAAUAGGAGGUUGUGAUUAAUAGCGUUUCCUGGGUAACUGAGAGCUAAACCAAAUUCUUUUUUGGGCUACGAAGGAUUGUAAUGGGGAGGCAAAAUGAGUGGGCUAGAAAUUUAGUCCCUAUUGCUGAACAUCUUUUUAAAAGGUGUUGUUUCACAUUGCUGGCUCAAUGAAAAUUUUGUAAUGAGCGCUAUUUCAUUUUGUUUAGUGAUUGAAGAUCUUACAGAGACCAUGGACAUUGUUUUGAACUUCAGACCCCUGAAUGGACCGUAAGAAUACAGAGGAUAAUUGUGAAAAAACAUACUCCCCUCCUCCAGAAAAGAAGUCUAACUUUUGAAAGAUUUGCCUCCUUUGUGGAAGAGUCAAAAACAGAGGCAUGAGCUUGCUGGCACAACAAGAUUGUCUGUUUUCUGCCAAAUCUGUAGAAUGUUGCAGUUGGAAGGAAUUGUACUGAUCAUCUGGUGUAGACUGAACCUUCAUUUUACACAUGAAGACACUGAGGCCCCAGAGGUAAAAGUGUCUUGCCCAAGGUCGAAGAGUUUGUUAUAAAGAAGCUUGUGCUACUUGUUUCAUGGAGUCUUAUCUUACACUAUUAAACUAUUCAGCUUAAUAUCUUCGACAGUUGAAACCAACCAUUCUUCAAAUGAAAAUGCAAAUUGCCUCCAAUAUCUUGACAAGUUCCAGAAGAGAUUUAGCACAUGUUGGUCUAGGAUAAGAAGGACAAAGCAGCACUUAAGUCCAGACUGGUGUUCCAGUGCCUUUGGUGCAAGGCUGGAAGUGACAUUUUUCUUCACCACCACCGCAGUCAUGGAGCUCUCCAGCUCAACAGACCAGAAGGAAAGAAGGGAAAUAGCUGGAAAAGAAGUGAAGACAGAUACAACUAAACAAGAGUAGAAAAGUGAACUCCGGUUCCCCCUCCUUUUAACACAACCAGAGGCUGCAAAGAUUCUGCUUUUUGUUAAGAGAAGCUCCCCAAGGGAAGUGUUUUGCCUCCAACUGUGAGACUGAUUGAUGUUCUUAAACCCUGGAGGAAUCUCGUCUGGCCCUCACAUUGCUGUUACAGAGCAGGGGGAAUGGUUUCCAGAAAGGGGAAUUUUCAAAGAAAACAUUUUUCUUGAUUUUCUUUUCAAAGUGUAGGGGAGUCAGAACAUGUAAGGAGGGAAACAUAAGUAAACAAUCUGCACAU